UACGUCCCAAAUCUGUUCCUUCCCUAAUACACCCGAUCCCGUAAUAGCUAAUACCCCCCUCCAGCACCGAUUUGAGAAUCCUUACCCAUUUCUUAUUUUCGUUUCUUUUUUUGUCCUCAUAGAUUUCUGCUUCUUCUUCCAUCGGUAUUGCUCUGUCCUCAUUUCUUCUGCUUUCAUAACAAAUCCUCAACAUUGUCUUCAUCGGAGGCCGAUUUCAGUAUUUCUUGUAGUUUUUCUCUCUUAGAAAUUGAAACAGAGAGUUUAGGAUUUUGAGAGGUUUGGAUUCUGGUGGAAGAGUUUCUUAUUUCUUGUUGUUUCUUCCUUUUUCCUGGAUCGUGCUUCUCGAUCAACCAGAGGGAGAAGGUGGGGAAGAGAGGACAAUUGCUUUCAUGAGAAGACUGGGACGUGCAAAUUCUAAAACUCCACUAUUGGGACACAGUUGUGAAAAAGGAACUAUUAAGCACUCAUUUCCUAUGAAAUAUGUCCUAAAACCAUGGAAACUUGGUCGAUGGUUUUACCAAGUUGUCAAGUUCAGCAUUGUUCAAUAUAACUCAUCGCUAUGGCUGGGUAUUUGAACAAAUAUGGUCUCAUCUCAUGGUUUAGUCAAACCGUUGUUAAGGUCGUAGGUGGAUUAGGUCUUUCAUGGCAAAUGUCAUUUGGCAUUCUGGUUCUUCUCUAUUUCUACUCGCAUUACUUCUUUGCCAGUGGAGCUACUCAUAUUGGUGCCAUGUUUACAGCCUUCUUGUCUGUGGCUACUGCUUUGGGCACUCCAUCGUAUUAGGGAGCCCUUGUUCUAUCAUUCCUCUCCAACCUAAUGGGAGGCAUUACUCAUUAUGGAAUUGGAUCCGCACCUGUAUUCUAUGGGGCGGGCUAUGUACCACUAGCAAAAUGGUGGGGAUAUGGUUUCCUGAUAUCGGUGGUGAAUAUUAUAAUCUGGCUUGGAGUAGGAGGCAUCUGGUGGAAGGCUAUUGGCUUGUGGUAAGGCAGAAUGUCAUAAAAUUUGCUGAUACUGAGCUAUGAAGGAUUUCUCACCUAACUUGAAGUUUACAGUUUCUUCUUCACAUCGGAAACUGAUUUGUCUUUGAUUCUUUACGUUGCAGAAAUAAUCUUUAUAGUGGGGUGGGGUUUAGAGGGUUGGAAAAGAAGAAAGAUUUGAGUUUGAGGUGGAGGUGGAGGUGUCAGAGCAGAACUUAGAUCUUUACCACAAAUUUUGACAAAUGGAAAAUACAUUAUUAUUUUGAAUACAUAUUAGUAAUUACAAACACAGAUUUGCUGCUUGAUAACA